rnacentral:lncRNA from 1 species
AUCUGUGCUGAGUUUUUCAAAGGUCAGAGCAGAUUGAACCUUUGUGGUUUCAUUUUCCCUGAUUUUGAUUUUUCUUAUGGGGAACCUGUGUGGCUGCAUUCAAGGUGACUCGAAGAAGCCUUCCAAAAAGCAUGUGAAAAGGAAGCCCUACUCUACUACCAAGGUGACUUCAGGGAGCACAUUCAAUGAGAAUACAAGAAGAUAUGCUGUGCACACCAACCAGUGUAGGAGACCUCAUGGCUCCCGGGUAAAGAAGAAGAGGUACCCACAAGAAGAUGACUUCCAUCAUACAGUCUUCAGCAACCUUGAAAGAUUGGACAAGCUUCAGCCCACUCUUGAAGCCUCUGAGGAGUCUCUAGUUCACAAGGACAGAGGAGAUGGAGAGAGGCCAGUCAACGCGAGGGUGGUGCAGGUGGCCCCUCUGAGGCUUGAAUCUACUCCCCAUGAGGACACCGUACACGACAUCACUAACGAGGACGCCACACACGACAUCGCUAACGAGGAUACUGUACACGACAUCGCUAACGAGGCCGCCGACAAGGGCAUCGCCAACGAGGACGCCGCCCACGGCAUCGCCAACGAGGACGCCGCCCACGGCAUCGCCAGCGAGGACGCCGCCCACGGAAUCGCCAGCGAGGACGCCGCCCACGGCAUCGCCAGCGAGGACGCCGCCCAGGGCAUCGCCAACGAGGACGCCGCCCAGGGCAUCGCCAAGGAGGACGCCGUCCACGGCAUCGCCAACGAGGACGCCGCCCAGGGCAUCGCCAACGAGGACGCCGCCCAGGGCAUCGCCAAGGAGGACGCCGCCCAGGGCAUCGCCAACGAGGACGCCGCCCAGGGCAUCGCCAAAGAGGACGCCGCCCAGGGCAUCGCCAAGGAGGACGCCGCCCAGGGCAUCGCCAACGAGGGCGCCGCCCAGGGCAUCGCCAAAGAGGACGCCGCCCAUGGCAUCGCCAACGAGGACGCCGCCCAGGGCAUCGCCAACGAGGACGCCGCCCACGGAAUCGCCAGCGAGGACGCCGCCCACGGCAUCGCCAGCGAGGACGCCGUCCAGGGCAUCGCCAAGGAGGAUGCCGCCCAGGGCAUCGCCAACGAGGACGCCGCCCAGGGCAUCGCCAACGAGGACGCCGCCCAGGGCAUCGCCAAAGAGGACGCCGCCCACGGCAUCGCCAACGAGCUGUAUACGACAUCGCUAACGAGGACACCCUACAAGCCGUCGCUAACAAGUACACUGUACACAACAUCGCUAAUGAGGGCACUGUACAAGACAUCACCAAUGAGGGCGCUUUAUACGACAUUGCUAAUGGCACCGACAAGGCACGCUAACGUGGACGCUGUACACGACAUUGCUAAUGAGGACAGCGUAUAAGACAUCGCUAGUAACUAUCGCAAGAACAAAAAACCAAACACCGCAUAUUCUCACUCAUAGAUGGGAAUUGAACAAUGAGAUCACAUGGACACAGGAAGGGGAAUAUCACACUCUGGGGACUGUUGUGGGGUUGGGGGGGGAGGGAUAGCAUCGGGAGAUAUACCUAAUGCUAGAUGAUGAGUUAGUGGGUGCAGCGCACCAGCACGGCACAUGUAUACAUAUGUAACUAACCUGCACAAUGUGCACAUGUACCCUAAAACUUAAAGUAUAUAUAUAUAAAAAAAGACAUCGCUAGUGAGCACGCUGUAUACGACAUCGCUAAUGAGGACACCAUACAAGGCAUCGCUAACGAUGACGCUGUACACAACAUCACUAAUGAUGACACCGUAUAAGACAUCGCUAAUUAUGACGCUGUAUACGACAUCGCUAAUGACACCGUACAAGGCACGCUAACGAGGAUGCUGUACACGACAUCACUAAUGAGGACAGUGUACAAGCCAUCACUAAUGAGGACACUGUAUAUGGCAUCGCUAACGAGGACACUGUACAAGGCAUUGCUAACGAGGACGCUGUACACAACAUCGCUAAUGAGGACACCAUAUAAGACAUCACCAAUGAGGAUGCUGUAUAUGACAUCGCUAAUGGCACCCACAAGGCAUGCUAACGAGGACGCUGUAGACGACAUUGCUUAUAAGGACACCGUACAAGACAUCGCUAACGAGGACGCUGUAUACGACAUCGCUAAUGAGGACGUUGUAUAUGACAUCGCUAAUGAGGAUGCUUUACAAGACAUAGCGAAUGAGGUUGCUGUAUAUGACAUCGCUAAUGAGGACAUUGUAUAUGACAUCGCUAAUGAGGACGCUCUAUACGACAUCACUAAUGAGGACGCUGUAUACAACAUCGCUAAUGAGGACGCUGUAUAUGGCAUCGCUAAUGAGGAUGCUGUAUACGAAUUCGCUAAUAAGGACGCUGUAUAUGACAUUGCUAAUGAGGACACUGUACAAGACAUCUGUAAAAAAGAAGAUGCUGCCAAUGAGCCAUUGACACUGGAGAAUGAUACGUACCCUGAAAUAACUCACUUCCUGAGGAAAAAGCGCCAUCUCUAGGAUUUGAUUGUGGAGAGCAUAUCUGAUGAUGGGGAUUUGUAGGACUUUAAAAAGCACUCAUGUUUCCAUCCUCACUGUUGACUCCUGGCUUAAAGGGAUCUCCCGGGGUGAGUGAGGAGGCGGGAUCGGACCCUGGCAGUCUGACGGCAGCACCUGUGUUCCUCUGCACUGGGCCGUGGAUGACAUUACACACCUUGCCACUCCCACGGUCCUGUGUGUUCCGGAUAUUUUAAAAUAAUGGCUAUAAGGUUGAGCACUUCAGGAUACGCUGUUUUGCUGUGUGCAGAUGGAGGCAGUGGCUGGAGUGAAUGAACGGCAACACUUGCUGGCAACCGGCAGAAGCUGAGAGACAGGGAACAGGCUCUCCUCCAGAGCCUCCAGGAGCCAGGCCUUUGGCCACCUUGAAUGUGGGCUUCUGGGAGACCAUGCGUUUCUGUUAUAAGCAGCCCAGUCUCUGGCAGUUUUUACGGCUGCCCCGGAACACUCAUCUAUACCUGUCUGACAAGGUCAAGCUCCAAGGAAGGGACUCUCUACAUAUCUACAUUGUUUGCAGAUUUUACAAUAAUCAUUUAUUCUUGCAUGGCUGAUCAUUGUUAACCAAUACAAAUAAAAUAAUAAAGAAAUGACCCAC